CUCAUUGGGGGAAGACUGGCCGGAUCAGGGUCCCCGGGCUCCGCUUUGGCCAGACUCACCGAAAGAAGCAGUGCUGAGCGACCCUGCACCCAUCCCCACCGGUUCGCUGCCCCCGCUCUCCUUCCCCAGAAAGGAUGGGACUUCUGUGGUGUGUGAUGUGUCUCUACUUCUAUGGGAUCCUGCAGAGUGAUGCCUCAGAACGCUGUGAUGACUGGGGACUAGAUACCAUGAGGCAGAUCCAAGUGUUUGAAGAUGAGCCAGCUCGCAUCAAGUGCCCACUCUUUGAGCACUUCUUGAAAUACAACUACAGCACAGCCCAUUCAUCUGGCCUCACUCUGAUCUGGUAUUGGACGAGGCAGGACCGGGACCUAGAGGAGCCCAUUAACUUCCGCCUCCCUGACAACCGCAUUAGUAAAGAGAAAGACGUGCUAUGGUUCCGACCCACCCUCCUCAAUGACACGGGCAACUACACCUGCAUGUUAAGGAACACCACAUACUGCAGCAAAGUUGCAUUUCCUCUGGAAGUGGUUCAAAAAGACAGCUGCUUCAAUUCCUCCAUGAAACUCCCACUGCAUAAACUGUAUAUAGAGUAUGGUGUUCAGAAGAUCACGUGUCCAAAUGUAGAUGGGUUCUUUCCUUCCACUGUCAAACCAACCAUCACUUGGUACAUGGGCUGUCAGAAAAUACAGAACUUUAACAAUGUGAUACCCGAAGGCUUGAACUUGAGUUUUCUCAUAGCCUUGGUUUCGAACAAUGGAGAUUACACUUGUGUUGUUACAUAUCCAGAAAAUGGGCGUACCUUCCAUCUCACUAGGACUCUGACUGUAAAGGUGGUAGGCUCUCCAAAAGACGCGUUGCCUCCUCAAAUCUAUUCACCCAAUGAUCUUGUGGUCUACGAGAAAGAACCAGGAGAGGAGCUACUCAUCCCCUGUACAGUCUAUUUUACUUUCCUGAAGGACGCUCGCAAUGAAGUUUGGUGGACCAUUGACGGAAAAAAGCCAGACGACACCAAUAUUGAUGUAACUGUUAAUGAAAGUGUAAGUUUGACUGCAACCGAAGAUGAAACAAGAACUCAGAUUUUGAACAUCAAAAAAGUUACUGCUGAGGAUCUCAAGCGCAACUAUGUCUGUCAUGCUAGAAAUGCCAAAGGGGAGGUUGACAAAGCAGCCAAGGUGAAACAGAAAGCUCCAAGAUACACAGUGGAAUUAGCAUGUGGUUUUGGAGCCACGGUCCUGCUGGUAGUGAUUCUCAUUGUUGUUUACCACGUUUACUGGCUGGAGAUGGUCUUAUUUUACCGGGCUCAUUUUGGAACAGAUGAAACCAUUUUAGAUGGGAAGGAAUAUGAUAUUUAUGUAUCUUAUGCAAGGAAUGCUGAGGAAGAAGAGUUUGUGUUACUGACCCUCCGUGGAGUUUUGGAGAAUGAAUUUGGAUACAAGCUGUGCAUCUUUGACCGUGACAGUCUACCUGGGGGAAAUACAGUGGAAGCAGUUUUUGACUUCAUUCAGAGAAGCCGAAGGAUGAUUGUUGUCCUGAGCCCAGACUAUGUGACAGAAAAAAGCAUCAGCAUGCUGGAGUUUAAACUGGGUGUCAUGUGCCAAAACUCCAUUUCCACCAAGCUCAUUGUGGUUGAGUACCGUCCCCUUGAGCAUCCACACCCAAGUAUCUUGCAGCUGAAGGAAUCUGUGUCUUUUGUGAGCUGGAAGGGAGAAAAGUCCAAACAUUCUGGCUCUAAAUUCUGGAAGGCCUUGCGGUUGGCUCUUCCCCUGAGAAGUCUGAGUGCCAGCUCUGGCUGGAAUGAAAGCUGUUCAUCCCAGUCUGACAUCAGUCUGGACCAUGUUCAAAGGAGGAGAAGUCGUUUGAAAGAGCCCCCAGAACUCCAGGGCUCAGGGAGAGCUGCAGGCACCUCUCGAGCCCCAGACACGAUGUCCAAGCACAGAGGGAAGCCCUCUGCAGCCUGUCGCUGCUGCGUCACCUACUGUGAAGGAGAGAGUCACCUUAGGAGCAAGAGCCGGGCAGAGAUACAUACCCAGCCCCAGUGGGAGACACACCUCUGUAAGCCUGUUCCCCAAGAAUCAGAAACUCAAUGGAUACAAAAUGGCACCAGAUUGGAGCCCCCUGCUUCCCAGAUCUCAGCCCUUGCUCUUCACCAUUUCACGGAUUUAUCCAAUAACAAUGACUUCUAUAUCCUAUAAUUACCGUGUGGUGAGUGGUGGCUGUUAUCUAUAUACCAGCCCUCUUUGUGUCAUGAACCUAUGGGAGAAAUUGACAUUUUUAUCAUCUGAUGGACUGCCAGACUGUGUCCCCUUUAUUGAUUUUUAAAAACUAUUUAUUUCUAGGAGACAAAAGACCCGAGGACCUGAAUCCAGAAUUAUUCUCUCUAAUGGCCUCAGAAGAGCACACUCUUCUCCGGCCCUAGAAGGCUCUGAUUUUCUACAGUCAAGAAGGACUACAAAUCAUCCUUUUAACAAGGUGUUUGCAGGCAAUAGAUGAAAUUAGAGGGCAUGUUUAGCCCUUGAGUUGCCUCAGCACAGGAGACAAUUAAAUAGAGGAGUGGUUGGUACAGUUUAUAUCUCAUAUACAAAGCAUCAAACACUGACAUUCGGAAUCUGGUAGGAUUGCUGUAGUCAUCACAUGUAUUAACCAGAUUCAGAUAAGCUAUGCUCUGCUAACAAAUAACCAUGACAUUUUAGUAGCUUUAUAACAAGAUUUAUUUCUUGUUUAUGCUGUAUGUCCAGAUAGGGGCUUACAUUUUUGUAGUUUUGCCAUCUGAAUUGUGUGGCUUCCUGCUAUUCUAAACUCCAGCCUAAAUACGACACUUAUCACUCGCACUUACAAUCCAUUGGUCAAAACUAGCUGUGGCACUGAUCUAGUCAUAGAGAAGGCUGGAAAAUGCAUUCUUCCUGUGUUCCUGGGAAGAGAAAAAUGAAAUGGGACUUGGUGAACACAUAGCGUUGUCUUUGCCUAGGAAUGAGAUAUUGAGAUUGCCUGAACAGGCAAGAGGCAGAACUACAACCGGAGCUUUGUUACAUACUUUGAUAAUGAAGAAAUGGAAUGAUUUUCCUGCCAACACCCCACCUCUGCUCUCCAAGGUGUCAAGUCAGGUACUUAUGAAAAAACAGUGUACAGAAAUGAAUAGGGCUUGUCCCUAAUUUCCUAAAGGAAAGUUGUUGAAGGCAUGCAUAAAAAUUACAGCUCCUGGUUAAGGGAAAGCAUUCUUAAAAAUUGGUAAGUUUCUGUAUUUGGUUAAUUUCCAUUCAGCGACUUUAGGUAGUUCUCUAAGAAUGUGAUGCUCAAACCAUCUGUCAAUGAGCCAUUUCAUUUUUGAAUAUCCAGGGAGCCUCAGAAGGAUUGAAGACAUUUAGAACACAGCAGAGCAUGUAACACGGUCAUUAGAAAGACUCCCUUGAUCUAUUUAUCUGAAGAGCUAAAUGGGGAAUUCAAACUGAACGUGCUAGAGCCCAGAUGAAGGAAGAGACAAAUGCUGCUGUGGGUAUUAUGAAGUCGGCUGCUAUGUAUGCAUCUGCUCUCUCUACAAUUUGGAUUCUCUGUAACAAAGACUUGAGAUUUUAUGACUUGUCUCAUGUUGUGCAGUAUCAUUUGGUCACGAAGAAACCUCUCUUUGGGUUGGUGAAGAUCAGUGCUUAAAGAGCCUCGAUCCAUACUAACAAGUUAUGAUGCUGAACAGAGAAAAAGUUGGAUUGCUUAGUAUAGUGAGGAGAUUACUGACAUAUUCAAAAUUCUUUAGAGAGUAAUUUAUGAAGUUUUCCUCUUGGAUAAUACAAAACACUUAUAAAUAUUUAAAUGGAAAAAAUUGGCUCUUUGAAAAUGGGCUCAUAGAAAGAAAGCAGAAAGAUUCCAAAUCUGAACUCAGAUCAUAAACUAUUUUUAUCCUACUUCAGGUGAUGGGAAUUUUAAUACUCUAUUGCUUUAUUGAAAAAAAACAAAGUAAGAUCUAAGCUGACACGCGUUUAUCUUUCAUUUAAGACAUAAAGCCAUACAUAACAACUUACUACUUUUCUAUUGUUAAAAGCUAUGCUAUAUGCUUGCGGUGGGUUUAUAAUUCAAUACCAUGUUUCAAAAUACCUGAGGUAAGUGGUUCUUUUAAAAAUUGCACAUAUUCGGGGCCUACCUCAGACUACUAAAUCUCCCAAAAUGACUUAGAUGUAUACUCUUCUAAAGAAUAACUGACUUAAGUACCUUUAUAAUAUCUGCAAAUGUUUCUGUGAAAAAUCGGUGAUAACAUAUUAUAAAUUUGGAGGGAAAAAAAGGCUAAAGCAAAUCCUGAUCUUUUAGACAAUAUUUUUUUCUUAAAGAGCAAACCUUAAAACUCACUGCCAAAUACUGGAAUUUGAGUACUUUAUUUUCAUAUCUUGCUUUGAAAUUGCAUAAAAUAGGAGAAAAACAAAAUGCACAUAAUAAAAUUAUAGCAAUAAUCAAUAUAUCAAUAAUCAAGCGGAGAGCCAAAGAAGGCUGAAACGUUAGUAUUUAUUACACCCAUGUCAUCAGUCAUCUACAACAGGACAAAAUGUUCAAGGGAUAACAACUUGGCUAUUGCAAAUACAAUUAAAUGACUUCUAAGAAGAACCAAAGGAAAAAAGGGAGAAUAAGUGAACCCACUCACUCACUUACAAACCUUAGUACUAUAACAUAAAAGAGAAAAGACACCCGGAACAAUUCCCACAGCUAAAAUGUGGAGUAAGUGUCAGAGUUUGGGCAAUAAAGCUGAAUGGUCAUUUCUAUAAAUAAAGGCUUUGACAGAGUGGAAUCAGGAGACCUGAACCGAAGUGCCUGUUCUUCUCUUUACUGUGUGACUUUCAGACACUUUUGCUCUCAAGUUCUGAAUUUCCCCACAUAUUAUAUGGGAAUAGUAUAAUAUCUACCUCAUUAGACUGUUGUAAGGGUAAAAUCAUAUAAUAAAGGUGAACUUCUAACAUCUGUAAAUUACAUGCUUGGUAGUGAUAUUAUUACUAUUAUUAUUAUAUUAUAAAAGAAAGCUACGGAAAAGAAAGAGCCUUAAGAGGAGUUCCUUAUCUGGCUGACUACUGGGGUACUUUCCAGAGCACAUAGUCUAACUGUAACCCUUCGUAACAUAAAAAUUAAAGAAUAAACAAUACAAUUUCACAUGACUCUAAGUGUUGAAGAUGCCAAAAAAAAAAAAAAA